rnacentral:lncRNA from 7 species
GAACAGGGAGCUCCAGCGCUUGUGGAUUAUAUAGAAUAAUAAAGGUGGCUGUCCGCACAGUAUAGCAAACUGCGAAGCCUGCAACUACUGAAGUUUGGUCUGUAGCAGGCUCAGUUGGGAAUGUGUAGCAGAGUAUGGAUGGUCAUGAUCCAUGGUGUGGAUGAGUUGCAGAGUACUGUGCUGUGCUGUGUGUGUAGUAGGAAGGAAAAGCUUAGGUAAAGCUGCCGCCUGCCGAUUGUGCAGUCAGUCCAGUACGUUGGUAUGCGACCAUCUCAAGUCUGGGCUUUGAUUUGAAGCAAUGAUUUUUGGCAAUGAAUGAACAAGCUAUCUACUGUAUAUACAGUUAUACACACAAACGAUUUGCACUGUUUUUGUACAG